UACGUAGGGUGCGAGCGUUAAUCGGAAUUACUGGGCGUAAAGCGUGCGCAGGCGGUUUUGUAAGCCAGAUGUGAAAUCCCCGGGCUUAACCUGGGAAUGGCAUUUGGGACUGCAAGGCUUGAGUGCGGCAGAGGAGACUGGAAUUCCUGGUGUAGCAGUGAAAUGCGUAGAGAUCGAGAGGAACACCAGUGGCGAAGGCGAGUUCCUGGACAAGUCCUGACGCUGAGGCACGAAAGCCAGGGGAGCAAACAGG
rnacentral:rRNA from 1 species